rnacentral:rRNA from 1 species
GACGAACGCUGGCGGCGUGCUUAACACAUGCAAGUCGAACGAAGUGGCGCACGGGUGAGUAACGCGUAAUCAACCUGCCCUUCAGUGGGGUACAACAGUUGGAAACGACUGCUAAUACCGCAUACUGAAGGAGGGGAUUGCGUCUGAUUUGCUAGUUGGAGGGGUAACGGCCCACCAAGGCGAUGAUCAGUAGCCGGGCUGAGAGGAUGAACGGCCACAUUGGGACUGAGACACGGCCCAGACUCCUACGGGAGGCAGCAGUGGGGAAUCUUCCGCAAUGGAGGAAAGUCUGACGGAGCAACGCCGCGUGAGGGAUGACGGCCUUCGGGGUGUAAAGCUCUGUUAAUCGGGACGCGGUACCGGAAUAGAAAGCCACGGCUAACUACGUGCCAGCCGCCGCGGUAAUUC